rnacentral:lncRNA from 1 species
UUUUGAUUCCCUUUCUUCCUCCUAUAUCGACCUCAUCCCCCUCUCUCUCUCUCUUAAUGAUGUGUUUUGGUUGUUAAAAUGAAUCUUUAGGUCACACAUUCAAGAUGCAAGAAAGGCUUGAGUGUUUCUACUUCAGUGAACAGUCGGAAUCAAAAACCCUAGCGGGAGCCAUUUGUCGCCCGCACUAAAGCUAUAGCAUACGCUUCAUUUAGAAUGUGAAUUCUACAUAGCUGUUAAAAGCCAUCGCCUCUUGCGCCUAGGCCAAUUUUUGAGGCGAGGCGAGGCAAUUGCAUUCAAAUUCUCCAGGUGAUGGAUCAGGCGUACAUUCGGGCGAGAUUCCGGAGAGUUUCCGGCAAGAUUCCAGCCAGGUUAGGACAUUAUGUGACAAGGCAAAGGAGAUAUUAAUAGAUGAAAGCAAUGUUCAGUAAAAAGCCCCGUGACUACUUGUGGUGACAUUCAUGGGCAAUUCCAUGAUCUUGCUGAACUUUUUCGUAUUGGAGGAAAGGUAUUAGCAUUAACUCUUUUGAAGGAAACAUGAAGGUCGGGAAUUUAGCUGCACCAGUUGCAGAAUGGACAGUUUGCGGAACUCCAUCGACUUCAUUAAUGGACGUUGAGAGGAGACAUGGGCUUGGCGGGCAUAGACCGUGUCACAAAAAGAACAAUACGGUCAG